UGGGGAAUCUUCCGCAAUGGACGAAAGUCUGACGGAGCAACGCCGCGUGAGUGAAGACGGCCUUCGGGUUGUAAAGCUCUGUGAUCCGGGACGAAAGAGCCUGAGGUGAAUAGCCUAAGGAAGUGACGGUACCGGAAAAGCAAGCCACGGCUAACUACGUGCCAGCAGCCGCGGUAAUACGUAGGUGGCAAGCGUUGUCCGGAAUUAUUGGGCGUAAAGCGCGCGCAGGCGGCUUCCUAAGUCCAUCUUAAAAGUGCGGGGCUUAACCCCGUGAUGGGAUGGAAACUGGGAAGCUGGAGUAUCGGAGAGGAAAGUGGAAUUCCUAGUGUAGCGGUGAAAUGCGUAGAGAUUAGGAAGAACACCGGUGGCGAAGGCGACUUUCUGGACAAAAACUGACGCUGAGGCGCGAAAGCGUGGGGAGCAAACAGG
rnacentral:rRNA from 1 species